UGCGCAUCGUUUUGACAUCAGUUCUUAUGACUUAACUUUCAAGCACUGAUCCUUUGCAUGUAUCUCGAAUUUUCGAUUCAGACGUUUUUCUGGUUAUUUGCAUUUAAACCAUUAUUUUAGCAGCCUAAAUAACCUUCAGAUUAUGAUUCUCUGUCUGUUGUUCCAGAAAACGUAGAGCGGGAAGUCGCAGUUACUCAGAUAACCAGGUCAUGGCCUCCUGAUUACCUUGAGCCGCGCGCAAUCAGGCAACAAGGCAAUCCAAACAAUAAGCAUUCAAACGAUAAAAUUCACCACAUAAACUAAGAAUUACAAGUAGAAUCAAUCACGAGCCCCUGAAAAACAGGAAACGAGAGAGGAAGUAAAUAUUUGAGGAGGAUCUGCUCAGUUUCACUAGCUUAUGGAACAAGAGAAUAAGAAUAAAGAAGCUGACAAGCCUGCAGAAGCGUCUGCCAUGUCACUGGCAUUAGAACGAGCAAACGAGGAAGCUGCCAGGAAAUCACAAUCAUCUGAAAUGAAUUAUAGGGGAGCUGAGAAUCCUGGGGAAGCACCCAUUAAAGCAGAAUCAUAAAAAAAAAGAACCCCAAAUCACUGAAGGCCAAAUCUAAAAUCAAGAAGGGACCCCCAGGUGGCAUCUCUUUAGAAACCGAGAAAACUAAAGACAAUCAACAAUUUUGGGGGAGAAACCGAAAGAAGAAGAAUAAGAGUGCAAUUAAAGAAAAGGAAGAAGAUAACAAAAAUGAGUCUGCAAAUGAUAAGAACCAGAGUUCAAGGGAAGAU